CCUACGGGUGGCUGCAGUGGGGAAUAUUGCACAAUGGGCGCAAGCCUGAUGCAGCCAUGCCGCGUGUGUGAAGAAGGCCUUCGGGUUGUAAAGCACUUUCAGCGGGGAGGAAGGCGGUGAGGUUAAUAACCUCAUCGAUUGACGUUACCCGCAGAAGAAGCACCGGCUAACUCCGUGCCAGCAGCCGCGGUAAUACGGAGGGUGCAAGCGUUAAUCGGAAUUACUGGGCGUAAAGCGCACGCAGGCGGUCUGUCAAGUCGGAUGUGAAAUCCCCGGGCUCAACCUGGGAACUGCAUUCGAAGCUGGCAGGCUAGAGUCUUGUAGAGGGGGGUAGAAUUCCAGGUGUAGCGGUGAAAUGCGUAGAGAUCUGGAGGAAUACCGGUGGCGAAGGCGGCCCCCUGGACAAAGACUGACGCUCAGGUGCGAAAGCGUGGGGAGCAAACAGGAUUAGAUACCCCAGUAGUC
rnacentral:rRNA from 1 species